rnacentral:lncRNA from 1 species
GACCUGUUUGCAGCUAGUUGAGAUGGUAUGGAGUUGAAUCUUUCUAGUGAAGUUGACUACCUAAUAUUACGAUCAUUCUUGUGAUUUUUUACUAGUGCUGUAGGUUUUGAGUUCAUGAUCAUAACUAAAAUUGUCAAAUAUGAAUACGUGUUGUCUAAUGGGAUCCUUCUCUUUGAUACAGCUUUGAUGUUGCAACUAAGUGUAGGGGACAUGUAGAAAUUUUAGAAAGAAGAGGAUGUCAAGAAAAUAGAAGAUAAAAGAGUUAAGAAAAGAAAUGGUCUAAGUUACCAUUUUAGAUUCAGUAUUUUGUAAAUAUUGUUUUAUAACAUUGUACUUGAGAGUGUCAAGAAUUGGAGAGGAUGUUGAUGUUCCCAUAUUGAAAUCAAUAUUUCAUGAAUUUUGUUUCCAAACAUUCUACUUAUAAGUUCAUUCCAAUCUUUUUGGAUAGAUUCACAACAAUGCUAAUCUUGUAGAACUUCUAAUCUAGGGUAGUUUAAUUAAAUGACUUAUCAUAGAUAGAAGGCAAAUUAUAAUUAAAUAGAAUUUAUUUACAGAGUUGUAGCAAUAACUUUGGUGAGUUGGGAGUAUCUGAAUUUGGCCAAGAGUUGUAAAAUAUCUCUUAUUCUAAGGGAUAAGGGCUCUGAAAUAUGAAUUAUGGAUCCUGAAGAGAUCUUUCAGAUGAUUUUGAGAUCAUUAAAAUCUGAUAUUUGUGUGGAAAAUUACUCCUUUGGGAAGAUUGCUUGUUCCUUGUAGACUAAUUUUAGUCAUCCAACUUAUAUUUUUCUCAAAUUUAGAAUUUACAGUCUAGUUUUAUUAUUGAACUCAAGGGCAAGGUUUUUCAUGGUGAAGGAACUGAUGCA